rnacentral:lncRNA from 1 species
UUGCCCAAAGCAGUUAUUGAAGGCGCAGGAUCCCAGGGAAGGAAUGAAGAGCAGGAGGAGGAGGAAGAGGAGGGUGUUUUAGGCCAGGAGAACUAUGGGGUUUCUGUCGCUUCCACUCUUUCAGAUUUGCUGGCUCUUUCCUUCGAAGCCCGGGACAGCAGGCGAGCAGAUCCUCACCUUCCAGCUCGGUCUCUCUGGUGUUUUGGCAGAGGCGGCUCCAAUGCAUGGGCCAGACUCGGUCCCUGGCCAGGCCAACCCUGUCUCGGGAUCCUCUAGAAUGCAUCAGCUGGGCUUGGGAGCGAAGGGAGACGCCUGGAAGAGAAUUGUAUUGCUUCAUCCCCGAGGGCACCUAUGAGGACGCGGCUCUGGGAGCAGGGAUCUGGGCCCGGACGCGGGAAGAGGAGAACAGGGAGCAGGACCCAGGCGCGGGCUGGGGAUCAGAGCGCGGGAAGUGGGGAGCGGGUUCCGGGUUCAGACAGCGGGGCAUGGGAAGCCGGGCCACAGUAUACUCACCGCUGCGCAGCGUCCCGGUUGGCGGGCCGCGUAGGCCGGGCCGCCGCGGAAAGGAAAGGCCGGAGCCCUCCGGCUCCCUCCCCUGGGACACUUCCUGCACCGCUCUAGGACCGAGGAGGUCUCCUCAUCUCAGUGGUUCGCUUCCCCGCCUCCUGGCCGAGGUGUACGCGGGGGGGUGACAUCCGACACCCCCGGCCCGCCUGGACCGCCCCGCCCCGCCCCGCUCCGUGCUCUCCCGGCCUGGGCCCGGGGCCCGGGCUUUAGCUUUGUGGGCCUUCCUAGCGGGCUCGGGAUGCGCGCGCGCGCCCCGGCGGGACCCGGGCGCUGGGGGCCAGUUCGCGCGGCCACCAGCCAGGGAGGCCGGCUUGGGGCUUUGCUCUUCUCUGCUCCUCUUGUGUGGGCGCAGGGAAGGGCUGGUCUGGCGGCGCUGGCGAAAUGCCAGAAUUGGGAGGAGGAGGGAUGAGGUGUAAGGGGAUCUCCCAGUGACCAUUUGCAUCCCGUGUGUGCUGUUGUGCCCCAAUCCCUUCCAGCCGCAAUUCCAUUUCAAAGCCAACGCUGCCAGAGCCACCCAAAUCGGUAGGACUGGAGAAAUGCAGACCCAGCGAUCCACGGUGCUCGCCGAAGCAGCGGCCCGCGGCUUCGUGGCAUGGAGAUGAUCUACGAUUUCUCUGUUUAAGGAAGACUGUAGCACUCUGGGUCCCUCUGAGCACCAGGAUAGUCCUGGUACAUGGUAGGAAGUCACCCUUAAAGAAGGUGGUUUGAUAGAGACACCCCACCACCGGCAGACUUCGUGCUUCCGUUUCCUUCUAAUAAUUGGGACUGGGACAAUCUCUUCCGACUAGUAGAACCUGGAAUAGGGACUAAUAGACUGGAAUCGGAGCACCUGUGUUAAAUCACACCCAUCAAGGCGCAGUCAGGUGAUCUAAGGCCUGCGUGACCUCUCUGUGCUUCAGGUACCUCCCUCAUACAGGAGACUGAUGCUGUCUGCUUCAUUGUGAGGCUAUUCAGGGAAUAUGUACUGAGAGUCUGCAAG